UCUUCUCCCGUAUCUUUGAUAAGUUCAAUUCCGAUGGAGAAAGAACAAUAAGAGACAAGAGAUUGGUUGAACCAUAUGAUAUUAUGCAUGCCUUCCUUUAUCUCUCAUUUCCUUUUUCAUCCCUCAUAUUGUGUUUUACACACUCUAAAGAAACACUUGUUUUUUAAAGUCUGUUUAGCUAAAGAAACUAAAUUAUAAAGCGAUCAAUAGGUGUUUAGGAAUCAAGUGUGUUUGCUAACAGAAUAUAUAUGUUUUCUGUUGAUUGAUAUUUGUGUUUCGUAUUUUGUCUGAUCAGGGGAUACACCAUAUGCUUAAAAGUGAUGGGCAGUGAAAAAACAUACUUCGUAUAAUUGUUUGGGUACAUUCCGCUGAUGUUUCAAGAUGAUACCAGAGAUGCUGGAUCAUGAAGCCAGAGGGAGAUCCUAAUGUGACAAUCAGUUGGGAGCUUCAUAUUCAGUGUAGUAUAAAACUCCAUAUGAUGAAUUCACAGGUGCCCCCGGUAUCUCAAGCUUCUUUUUUACGGGUUAAAUUCAUAUCAAUAAUCUUUGGCAUUAAGAUGUUCACUACUUCAGUUCAUUCGGUUAAAACUGAAAUCGUGCUCCUCGUUUCACAUGGGUAUGACCUGGUGCUUUGUGCUAGGUGUUAUGUUCCCGGAAACUACCAGGUUGGUGUUACUGCUUCAGAAUUCAGGCGGGUUGAGAUUAGUGAACCAGUGAAGGCAGGUUGGACUGAAAAGGAAACUUUGCAACUUCUGGAAGCCGUUAUGCAUUAUCGCGAUGACUGGAAGCGUGUGGCUGAACAGGUUGGUGGUAGAACUGAUACUAGCAUCAUACACCACUCGAUGAUACUAGCAACCCAAUUAUGGCUCAGAGGAUAACAUUUACAAGUUUGCAAAGAAGGGAUAUGCUAGAUUGAUUCUCAACACAAACACUCAGAAUAUGGCUACAUGAUUAUGCUUCGUAUUUUUAAUUUGAGAAGCAACAUUAACUCUGACUACAGAGCUACCAUCUAUGAGACAAGCUCUGUUUGGGGGUUGACCAACACCUGAAAGAAAAGUGGUAUCUUCGCUGUAUGACAAGGUAUGUGAAGAUGAAAAGGGACCAAAUAUACUUGAUGAAGAUGGGAAAGGGUUACUACAUCUUGUUGCAGCGCUUGGUUUCGAUUGCUGUUGGAGUUAGUGAGAAUUUCUGAGACAUAAAUGGAUGGACCACAUUCUAUUGUAGUAUUAAUUCUAUGUAUUGUGGUUGGUAUAUUUUCUUAGGAAAGUUUGAAUUUCAUGUUCCUAGGAAAUACCCGUACGCAUUAUGGCUUGGGCUUGUUAUUGUGACUUCGAACAAUUAAUAUCACCUACAUUGUAUACGUAUUCUUGGUUUUAUAUUGUCUAUGACAUGCAAAUUGAACA